rnacentral:lncRNA from 1 species
UGGAAGUGGAAGGGCCCGAGGAAGAGCUGGAAUUCGCGGGGGAGAGAGGGUUCGUGCCAGAAACCGCCAAGGCCGAGCCUGAAGUCCCUCCACAGGAGGGCGUGCCAGCGUGGCUGCCGAGGUCCUUAUGGACACCGCAGGGCAGGCGGGCGGCCACGCGGCUUCCAGCCCUCAGAUCUCCCAGCCGCAGAAGGGCCGGAAGCCCCGGGACCUAGAGCUUCCACUCAGCCCGAGCCUGCUAGGUGCGCCGGGAGCCGAACGGACCCCAGGAUCGGGAACUGGCUCCGGCCUCCAGGCGCCGAGGCCGGCGCUGACCCUGUCCCUGCUUCCUACGCACACGUUGACCCCGGCGCUGCUGACACCCAGCUCGCUGCCUCCCAGCGUUCACUUCCGGAGCAGCCUGAGUCCCGCUGCGCCCCGCAGCCCGGCCAAGCUCUCCUGCCAGCUUCCGUCCAGUGGCGGCGCCCAGGCUGCCCUCUAGCCGGGCUUCACCUUCCAGUCUCCAUGAUGGAGAAGGCUGGAGGCGGUGGUCUCCACAGUUGCAGCCCAGCCCUGGAGACGUGGACGGAGUGGGCAGGGUUGCCACCACCAGGAAGCAUCCAAAGGAUGCCAGUGGCAGAGGCCCAGCUGCCCCCACCAAGUUUCGCCAAGAAAAGCCCAGAAAAUUCAUCUGAACAGCCUUCCUACAGCCGCUCCCCACACCAGGUGGCCAGGUGGGAGUUCCAGACCAGAGCUGUCUCCCGGGAUGUUGACACAGCAGCCACGUUGAUUGGUGUUGGGGCAGCCCCUGUCGGUGUGGCUGGCUUCGGGCCUGGCAUUGGAACGGUGUCUGGCAGCUUGUUGGCUAUGCCGGGAAUCUGUUUCUCAAGCAGCAGCUCAUCUCCGAUGCCAUUCUGGGCUUUGCUGUGUCUGAGGCCAUGGGGCUGUUCUGUUUGGUGGUCGUCUUCCUCAUCCUCGCCACGUGAGGCUCCACAGGGGUCACCUGCCUGUCCCUGCUGCCCGUCCCUACUCCACGCCAUUCCUGGUGAUGGGGUAUGCUAAUUUUUACCAUUAAACACACGUUUCUCUCAAAAAAAAAUUCUCCCCCACAUAAAUUUUACUACGAAA